UAUUAAAAAUUCCAUCAAUUUCUAUUAUUAAAAACUGACAUGGACAAGUUACAUGUGGCGUGCCACGUGUACCUUAUUUUGAUGUAUAUAGACCAAUUUUUAAUAGUAAAAAUGGAUGAAAUGUUUAACA
rfam:Gossypium raimondii Chr05_contig_1344, whole genome shotgun sequence.